rnacentral:rRNA from 1 species
AUUGAACGCUGGCGGCAGGCCUAACACAUGCAAGUCGAGCGAGCGGCGGACGGGUGAGUAAUGUCUGGGAAACUGCCUGAUGGAGGGGGAUAACUACUGGAAACGGUAGCUAAUACCGCAUACCAUCAGAUGUGCCCAGAGGGGUUUAGCUAGUAGGGGGGGUAAUGGCUCACCUAGGCGACGCUCCCUAGCUGGUCUGAGAGGAUGACCAGCCACACUGGAACUGAGACACGGCCCAGACUCCUACGGGAGGCAGCAGUGGGGAAUAUUGCACAAUGGACGAAAGCCUGAUGCAGCCAUGCCGCGUGAGUGAAGAAGGCCUUCGGGUUGUAAAGCACUUUCGGCGAGGAGGCGUUACCCGCAGAAGAAGCACCGGCUAACUCCGUGCCAGCCGCCGCGGUAAUAC